rnacentral:rRNA from 1 species
UGGUCUUGACAUAUCUAGAAUCCUGCAGAGAUGCGGGAGUGCCUUCGGGAAUUAGAAUAC